AGAGCGAACGCUGGCGGCAGGCCUAACACAUGCAAGUCGAACGGACCCUUCGGGGUUAGUGGCGGACGGGUGAGUAACACGUGGGAACGUGCCUUUGGUUCGGAAUAGCUCCUGGAAACGGGUGGUAAUGCCGAAUGUGCCCUUCGGGGGAAAGAUUUAUCGCCAUUAGAGCGGCCCGCGUCUGAUUAGCUAGUUGGUGAGGUAAUGGCUCACCAAGGCGACGAUCAGUAGCUGGUCUGAGAGGAUGACCAGCCACAUUGGGACUGAGACACGGCCCAAACUCCUACGGGAGCCAGCGAGUGGGGAAUCUUGCGACAAGUGGGCGAAAGCCUGACGCAGCCAUCGCCGCGUGAAUGAUGAAGGUCUUAGGAUUAGUAAAA
rnacentral:rRNA from 1 species